GGGGAGGGGCGGCGAGGCGAGGCCUGCGGAGCGGAGGAAGACAAACAUAAAGAUGAAGUGCUUAAUUCAAGGUCACACAAUGUCGGGGAUGGACCUCCAGAUUUCCUUACUGGUGAGACGUGGUCUUGUAACACAGUGGUUAAGAAUGUGACUUUGGAGCCAGCCUGCUAGGGGCUGAAUUCUGACUCAGCCAUUUACUAACUGUGUGACCUUAGGUGGAGUCUCACUCUGUAGCCCAAGCUGGAGUGGCGUGAUCUCGACUCACUGCAACCUCCGCCUCCUGGGAUCAAGUGAUUCUCGUGCCUCAGCCUCCUGAGUAGCCGGGACUACAGGUCACAGAAUUUUCCACACUCCUUGACAGAGGUGCUUAACCCUUAUCCAUCAGCAUUCUCAGACAGCACCUCCGGUUAGGGACAGUAUCUGACCGUCCGACAUCCCUGCAGCCCCCAUGUGUCACACAGACUCAGCCUCAGGUAGAUGGUUUCCGUAGAUGGUGGCUUUCUUUGGACCCUUGACAUCAACCAGUUACUAUUUGACUCUUCUGCAGAACCCCAUGUUGACCCCUGCUUUGAGGUGGCAGAGUUAACACUACUCUUCGUUAUAAGCUCUCGUCUGGGGCAACUCAGAAGAACGGGACCAGAUGUGCAGAGGUAAUGAAUACCAGGGAAUCAGGAAACCACUGGAUCAGUUCUUUGAGCCACAGAACAACACUCAUCCCAGCAGCUGGGAAGCUAUCUGCAAAAGUCCAUCUGCAGAAAGGGCUUCCUGGUCUUGCGUGUGGCUGGGCCAUUUCUCUGGAUGCAGGUUUUUCAUUAUACAGUCUUCUCAAAGAACCACCUGCUCUCAACACCUUCUCGGUGACUCCAUUUCCCCU
rnacentral:lncRNA from 1 species